GGCAACCCACUCCAGUGUUCUUGCCUAGAGAAUCCCGGGGACGGGGGAGCCUGGCGGGCUGCGUCUAUGGGGUCGCACAGAGUCAGACACGACUGAAGCGACUUAGCAGCAGCAGCAGCAUAAGGGAGGAAAAAACGUUUUUUCCCUCUACUUAUCUUAGGUUCAUUGGCAGGCCCUGUAAAUCAGACUGAGAAAAGAUAUCAACAAGAGAAAAUCAAACAGAAGUUUAUUACUAAGUGCAUCAUGGAUACACCUAAAGAUGAGUAAUUCAAAGGAGUGGUUAGAGCUUGGGCUUAUAUAGCAUUUUAACGAAAGAACAAUAAAGUUUUAGAGAGGUGACAAGACAAUGGAAAAAGACUUUGAGCUCCUAAGGUGGCAAAUUGUGGGAAGGCAAAUAUAUGGGGAACCUAAUGGUGAAUAAGGGCUAGUGUGCUACUGCAUGCGUGCUUAGUCAUGUCCGAUUCUUUGGAACCCCAUGGACUCUAGCCUGCCAGGCUCCUCUGUCCAUGGGAUUAUCCCAUCAAGAAUACUGGAGUGGGUUGCCAUUUCCUCCUCCAGGGGAUCUUCCCCACCCAGGGAUCAAAGCCAAAUCUCCCUGCAUUGUCAGGCGGAUUCUCUACCACUGAACCACCUGGGAAACCCAUGAAAUAAGGGCUAGUUUAGGCCAGACUUGUAUAGAUCAUCUGGUGCUAUCUCUGAGCUGGUAGAGGUCUAGGGUUGUCCCCAGGGAUUAACUUCUGUCCUUCUUAGUAGAGAGGAGGGAGAGGAAACCUUUCCAAGUGUAGUCUCAUUUUUAGGCAAAUAGGAGUGGGCAGAGAGCUUUUCUUGUAUUUGCUUCUUCUCAGUUUCCUUUAGCUCAAAAUAAUCCUCAGGCCAAAGUAGCAUAUUUGGGGGUGGCAUAUUCUGUCACCCUUCACUAAGCUGAUCAGUAUUUUGUAUUUCUUUUCAUUAACUUAAAACUUGUACCUAAGACUGGUCACUGGGGCUGAAACUAUUCAACCUUUUCUAAUUUAUUCAAGAGGGUGAAAAAAUCAUCUCUGUGAUCACAACUAGCUGGUCAUUGCUUCCUUUAAAGAAUUCAUUUCAAUAUAUAUAUGUGUGCAUCUUAUUUUUAAUAUUUGAUAACUGCACUUUUAACACUACCAGUCUCAAUCCACACUUAGAAAUAAAUGAUUUAAUGUAAAGAGUUAUCUGAGAAACUCUGAGAUCCUGAAAGUUCAGCCCAAUUUAUUACGUUUUUAAAACUAGAAACAGUCAUGAGGUAUACAGGACUUAAAUACUGUUUUAUUAUGUUAAAGAUCAACCCUCCACUACAUCCAUCCUUUGUUUUAAAGAUCCCUUUUAGAAUUCAGUUUUACCCACAAAGAAGCGGGGAGAAUGGGGAAAGCGGGGUGCAGAAUAAUUUAGGGAGUCUUCUCAGGUCAGUUCAUUCAUUUCUUCAAGAAAUAACCUAGCUCCUAUCCCAUAGGCUGGGCAAUAUGCUCAGUGCUGGGAUAAUCAGAUGUACUUGAUUCCUCUCAAGAAAAAUUCAACCCAGGCUUUGUUUUCUCUUCUUGCCCCAUCUUCUGCCCCCAUCUCAUGCCAGGCGCCAGUUGCACAGGCGUGCAGUUGCCAGUGGGAGGACAGAGAACACACAGGUCCUCAGAGAAUCCAAGGGCAGUGGCACAGCAAGACAAGCAUUUUAAUCAGCUGCGAUCUCUGCCUCCUACCAUUUUCUUCCUCUUUCUCCCUCCCCUCUUUCCUCUGUACCCAUAAGUUGGCAUUAAAGGACAUAGCUCGUACUUGUUUGUUUAUUCUUAUGUAGCCUUCUAAGUGUUCUAAUGUCUUUGUUUUUUUUCUGAUUACAAAAGUAGCAUGUGUUCAUCAUUACAUAAAAGUCAAAUAUUUCAGAAAUGCAUGUCCUUUGAGAACAUAUCACACCCCCCCAAAAAACUGCACAGACUUUCCUUUUAACCGAGAGUAAAAGGCCAAGCUUUGCAAUGGUCUGCUGAUUUGCACGCCUUGCUCUGAUCUCGUGUCCUCUGGUUCUGCCCCUGCUUCCUGUGCUCAGCAUCAACACUUGAGCGGGCCGCUACAUCAGGGCCUUCGCACCAGCCAUUCCUUCUGUGGCCCUGCUCUCCCCCAGAUACCUGCCUGGCUUCUGUCUUAGUCUGCUCAGGUCACCAUGACAGAAUACCCCAGACAGGACAGUUUAAACAACAGACAUUCAUUUUCUCACAGGCCUGGAAGACAGAAGCACACAUCAAGGUUUGAGCCAAUUUGAUUUCUGAUCAGCUGGGUUCAUCAGGAUAAUCCUGAGGUGCAAUCAUCUGACAGCUCAACUGGGACCAGAACAUAUAAAUUGCCUCACCUGUGCAGCUGGGCCUCAGGGCUGCUGAAGGCAGGGCUUCGCUCUUCAUGGAGGAUCUUAUUCUUUUAUGGUCUAGUCCAGGCUUCCUCACACAACAGCAUGAAGGUUUCAAAAAGGCAAGAGUGGAAGCUUCCAGAUUCCUUAGGGCACGGGCUUCUGAUGAGCAAGUCAGGAACAGCAGAGUCCAUUGCAAGGGGAUGUGGAUCCAGGACAGCCUGAUUUGUCAGUGGUCAGAAUUAUUGCAAACUGCCAUAUGAUCGGAUUUAAAAUUGCAAUUCCACUCUUCCUCUUUUGCACAGUUAUCUUUGGAUAACAAACUACAAAUUCUCCACAUAAAGUGUUUGUUCACUGCUGAAUCUCCAUCACCUAGAAUGGAACCUAGCAUGGUGGGAACUUAAUAAACAUUGGUUGAGUUCAUUGAAGACAUUAAUUUGAAGCUGUUUUCUGGAACCCUUCAUCCUUAAUGCUUUUAUAACUUUGGUUGUGCUUUUGCUGUUAAAAAGAACUUUAUGAUAAAAUUAUCCCAUUUUACUUUUCACAACAACUUCAAUUAACAGGCAGGAUCAGUAUCAUUGCUCCCACUUUGCAAAUGAGGAAUCUGAGGCAUAGACAGAACGAGAGCCUUGCCCAAAGUCUCACAUCUGAGAAGAACAGAGCUUCUGACAUCAUGUCCCAGGCUUUCCACCAGCUGUCAUGCAAACUUUCAGGUGAAAGAUACUUUCUGCCUCUUCUAUUUCCCUCCUCAGGGCUUCAUGCUUGGAGAGCAUGAAGAGUAAAUAAUUUCAGUUACCCAACUGGCUACAAGCCACAGGGCCAAGAGAAGCAGCACUAUCUCUCUGAAAUCCCUCCUGUAGAAACCAAAACUUAAAGGCCUCGAUGACCCAGAGCCAUCAAGGCACUAAAAGGGAAGGCUGUCGGGACCUAUCUUUAUGGACCUUGCCCUGGGCUGCAUGCACUGUUUGUGUAAAGUUAAACUUUAAAGCCACGUGUCCAACCCAUGGUUGCCAGGCUGUUCUGGUCUGGAUAAGCCUUGGCUUGAGCCUGUAGGGAGCAGAAAACAAUCUCCUCUCAAGCAAUGAGUGGCUGUUCCACUGAGAGGAUUGAUUAAUAAGCAAAUCUUAAUAUCACAGGGAAAUGAUACCAGAUGGAGCAAGUAUACAACUCUGUAUGUUAAAAAUGUGUUGAAAGGCUUGUCCCCUUGCAGAAAAGCCCCUUGAGAGAUCACUUGCUGACUGGGGCUAGAAGCAAGUUAGGGAUGAAAGAGGUCAUUUUUAAAAUAGGAAGUUUUAUGCUUUCUGCUUCAUUCUUUCAACUUAAUGGUAUUUUUAAUUUGCUAUUUAAUAUCAUUCUAAGUAAAUAAAAAAGUUUUAGAUAAUUAUCAUAAGUUUUACCAUUCAUCUUUUUAUUGUGCAGUGUCCAUUUUAAAUACAAAUUUGAGAGCAUUAAAUGUGUAUGGAGAACAGUGAAAUUACACAAUUUGUAUUUUGUAGCUCAAAGAUACAUAAAGAUUUUGUGCUUACUAAAUAAAACAGUAGAAAUACUGGAUAAAA